rnacentral:rRNA from 1 species
CGGCCCAGACUCCUACGGGAGGCAGCAGUGGGGAAUAUUGCACAAUGGGCGAAAGCCUGAUGCAGCGACGCCGCGUGAGGGAUGACGGCCUUCGGGUUGUAAACCUCUUUCAGCAGGGAAGAAGCGAAAGUGACGGUACCUGCAGAAGAAGCGCCGGCUAACUACGUGCCAGCAGCCGCGGUAAUACGUAGGGCGCAAGCGUUGUCCGGAAUUAUUGGGCGUAAAGAGCUCGUAGGCGGCUUGUCACGUCGGAUGUGAAAGCCCGGGGCUUAACCCCGGGUCUGCAUUCGAUACGGGCUAGCUAGAGUGUGGUAGGGGAGAUCGGAAUUCCUGGUGUAGCGGUGAAAUGCGCAGAUAUCAGGAGGAACACCGGUGGCGAAGGCGGAUCUCUGGGCCAUUACUGACGCUGAGGAGCGAAAGCGUGGGGAGCGAACAGGAUUAGAUACCCUGGUAGUCCACGCCGUAAACGUUGGGAACUAGGUGUUGGCGACAUUCCACGUCGUCGGUGCCGCAGCUAACGCAUUAAGUUCCCCGCCUGGGGAGUACGGCCGCAAGGCUAAAACUCAAAGGAAUUGACGGGGGCCCGCACAAGCAGCGGAGCAUGUGGCUUAAUUCGACGCAACGCGAAGAACCUUACCAAGGCUUGACAUAUACCGGAAAGCAUCAGAGAUGGUGCCCCCCUUGUGGUCGGUAUACAGGUGGUGCAUGGCUGUCGUCAGCU